rnacentral:rRNA from 1 species
AUACGGAGGAUGCAAGCGUUAUCCGGAUUUAUUGGGUUUAAAGGGUGCGUAGGCGGAUGAUUAAGCGUGAGGUGAAAUGCCACUGCUCAACGGUGGAACUGCCUCGCGAACUGGUUGUCUUGAAUGCUCCUGCCGUGGGAGGAAUGUGUGGUGUAGCGGUGAAAUGCAUAGAGAUCACACAGAACACCGAUUGCGAAGGCAUCUCACGAAGGGGUGAUUGACGCUGAGGCACGAAAGCGUGGGGAUCAAACAGGAUUAGAUACCCUGGUAGUCCACGCAGUAAACGAUGAUAACUAACCGCUGGGUCGUAGUGAUUCAGUGGCCAAGCGAAAGCGAUAAGUUAUCCACCUGGGGAGUACGACCGCAAGGUUGAAACUCAAAUGAAUUGACGGGG